GGCCUGAUGGUCUAGUAGUAUGAUUCCUCGUUCGGGAGCUUUCAAUUCUCCAGCGCCUUCUGGUGCUUAAAUCGAGGAGGUCCCGGGUUCAAUUCCCGGUCAGGCCC